rnacentral:rRNA from 1 species
UGGGGAAUAUUGCACAAUGGGCGCAAGCCUGAUGCAGCCAUGCCGCGUGUAUGAAGAAGGCCUUCGGGUUGUAAAGUACUUUCAGCGGGGAGGAAGGCGAUAAGGUUAAUAACCUUGUCGAUUGACGUUACCCGCAGAAGAAGCACCGGCUAACUCCGUGCCAGCAGCCGCGGUAAUACGGAGGGUGCAAGCGUUAAUCGGAAUUACUGGGCGUAAAGCGCACGCAGGGGGUCUGUCAAGUCGGAUGUGAAAUCCCCGGGCUCAACCUGGGAACUGCAUUCGAAACUGGCAGGCUAGAGUCUUGUAGAGGGGGGUAGAAUUCCAGGUGUAGCGGUGAAAUGCGUAGAGAUCUGGAGGAAUACCGGUGGCGAAGGCGGCCCCCUGGACAAAGACUGACGCUCAGGUGCGAAAGCGUGGGGAGCAAACA